CAGGACGACGCUGGCGGCGUGCCUAAUACAUGCAAGUCGAACGGUCUUUCUAUGGAAGCUUGCUUCCGCUGAGAAGAUAGUGGCGAACGGGUGAGUAACACGUGGGUAACCCUGCCCAUAAGAGGGGGGAUAACAUCCGGAAACGGGUGCUAAUACCGCAUAGUUUUCUUGAUCGCAUGAUCGGGAAAGGAAAGACGGCCUUUGUGCUGUCGCUUAUGGAUGGACCCGCGGCGUAUUAGUUAGUUGGUGAGGUAACGGCUCACCAAGACGAUGAUACGUAGCCGACCUGAGAGGGUGAUCGGCCACAUUGGGACUGAGACACGGCCCAAACUCCUACGGGAGGCAGCAGUAGGGAAUCUUCCGCAAUGGACGAAAGUCUGACGGAGCAACGCCGCGUGAGUGAAGAAAAGGUUUUCGGAUCGUAAAACUCUGUUGUCAGAGAAGAACAAGUUGGAGAGUAACUGCUCCAGCCUUGACGGUAUCUGACCAGAAAGCCACGGCUAACUACGUGCCAGCAGCCGC
rnacentral:rRNA from 1 species